AAGUCGUAACAAGGUUUCCGUAGGUGAACCUGCGGAAGGAUCAUUAUCGAACUUUGAGAAGGCAGGAAAGGCGGGGGAAGAGUAGACUGUCGCUGGCCCUUGCUUUGGCAUGGGCAUGUGCACGUCUUGCUACUUCGUCGACCUGUCUCUCAUCAUAACACACACCUGUGCACCAUUUUGUAGAUCCUCGAAAGAGGAUCUAUGUUUCUUUUCACAUCACACCCCUAUCGUAUGUCUACAGAAUGUCUACAAAUCAUAACACAACUUUCAGCAACGGAUCUCUUGGCUCUC
rnacentral:misc_RNA from 1 species